UGGCGCAGGACGACGCUGGCGGGCGUGCCAACACAUGCAAGUCGAGCGGGGACGAUACGACGGAACCAAAGUUUUCGGUAUGGAGGUGAAGAUGUAUGUUCUAGCGGCGGACGGGUGAGUAACGCGUGAGCGAACCUAGUCCCUUACAGGGGGAGUAACACAGCGAAAGUUGUACUAAUACCGCAUGAGACCACGGGGAGACAUCUUUCUGAGGUCAAAGGAGCAAUCCGGUAAGGGGUGGGCUCGCGUCCGAUUAGAUAGUUGGUGAGGUAACGGCCCACCAAGUCGACGAUCGGUAGCCGACCUGAGAGGGUGAUCGGCCACAUUGGGACUGAGACACGGCCCAAACUCCUACGGGAGGCAGCAGUGGGGAAUAUUGGGCAAUGGGGGGAACCCUGACCCAGCAACGCCGCGUGAGGGAAGAAGGUUUUCGGAUCGUAAACCUCUGUCCUUGGUGAAGAGUAAGAGACGGUAGCCAAGGAGGAAGCCCCGGCUAACUACGUGCCAGCAGCAGC
rnacentral:rRNA from 1 species